rnacentral:rRNA from 1 species
GACGAACGCUGGCGGCGUGCCUAAUACAUGCAAGUCGAGCGGACUUGAUGAGAAGCUUGCUUCUCUGAGAGUUAGCGGCGGACGGGUGAGUAACACGUAGGCAACCUGCCUGUAAGACUGGGAUAACUACCGGAAACGGUAGCUAAUACCGGAUAGGUGAUUUUCUCGCAUGAGGAAGUAAAGAAAGACGGAGUAAUCUGUCACUUACGGAUGGGCCUGCGGCGCAUUAGCUAGUUGGUGAGGUAAUGGCUCACCAAGGCGACGAUGCGUAGCCGACCUGAGAGGGUGAACGGCCACACUGGGACUGAGACACGGCCCAGACUCCUACGGGAGGCAGCAGUAGGGAAUCUUCCGCAAUGGACGAAAGUCUGACGGAGCAACGCCGCGUGAGUGAUGAAGGUUUUCGGAUCGUAAAGCUCUGUUGCCAGGGAAGAACGUCUUAGAGAGUAACUGCUCUAAGAGUGACGGUACCUGAGAAGAAAGCCCCGGCUAACUACGUGCCAGCCGCCGCCGUAA